rnacentral:rRNA from 1 species
GAUGAACGCUGGCGGCGUGCCUAACACAUGCAAGUCGAACGAAGCACUUUGUUUGAAUCCUUCGGGUUGAAGAACUUUGUGACUGAGUGGCGGACGGGUGAGUAACGCGUGGGUAACCUGCCUUAUACAGGGGGAUAACAGUUAGAAAUGACUGCUAAUACCGCAUAAGCGCACAGUACCGCAUGGUACCGUGUGAAAAACUCCGGUGGUAUGAGAUGGACCCGCGUCUGAUUAGCUAGUUGGCAGUGUAACGGACUACCAAGGCGACGACGGAUAGCCGGCCUGAAAGGCGACCGGCCACAAGGGCACUGAGACACGGGCCCUACUCCUACGGGAGGCAGCAGUGGGGAAUUUUGGGACAAUGGGCGAAAGCCUGAUCCAGCAACGAUGCGUGGAGGAUGAAGGUUCUCGGAUUGUAAACUCCUUUGAUGGGAAGAAAAAAUGACGGUACCAUCGAAUAAGCAACGGCUAACUACGUG